rnacentral:rRNA from 1 species
AAAAGAAACUAACCAGGAUUCCCCCNGUAGCCGCGAGCGAAGAGGGAAGAGCCCAGCGCCGAAUCCCCGUCCGGCGGGCGGAUUGGGGAAAUGUGGCGUACGGAAGACCGCUUGCCCGGUGUCGCUCGGGGGCCUGAGUCCUUCUGAUCGAGGCUCAGCCCGUGGACGGUGUGAGGCCGGUAACGGCCCCCGUCGCGCCGGGGUCCGGUCUUCUCGGAGUCGGGUUGUUUGGGAAUGCAGCCCAAAGCGGGUNGUAAACUCCAUCUAAGGCUAAAUACCGGCACGAGACCGAUAGUCGACAAGUACCU